rnacentral:tmRNA from 1 species
GGGGCUGUUCUGGAUUCGACGGGAUUAUGGAAGUUUCAAGGGCAUGUAAAGUCGAAGAGCUUUUAAAAAACUUCAAAUAAAUAUAAAUGCAGACAAUGCGUUCUUUGGCCGUGCUAACAGCAACGGCGUAGCUUUAGCAGCUUAAUAACCUGUAUAAAGCCAUCAUACUCUAGCUUUUACUGGUGGGUAAUAGAGAAUAAAUGAUGCCUAAUAAUAUUUUACACUAGUUAGUAAAUAGAAGUUCAGAUAGGACUUUUACUUAUGAAAUUUAAUCUAUCUAGUCUUGUAGGUCUUUGGUCUUAUUUUGUGCUACUUGAUGAAAUUUAAAAUAAGAAUAAACAUGUAGAACUUGGGAUGGACUAAUUUCGGACAGGGGUUCAAAUCCCCUCAGCUCCACCA